GAUGAAGAACGUAGUGAAAUGCGAUAAGUAGUGUGAAUUGCAGAAUUCAGUGAAUCAUCGAAUCUUUGAACGCACAUUGCGCCCUUUGGUAUUCCAAAGGGCAUGCCUGUUCGAGCGUCAUUUGUACCCUCAAGCUUUGCUUGGUGUUGGGCGUCUUGUCUCUAGCUUUGCUGGAGACUCGCCUUAAAGUAAUUGGCAGCCGGCCUACUGGUUUCGGAGCGCAGCACAAGUCGCACUCUCUAUCAGCAAAGGUCUAGCAUCCCUUAAGCCUUUUUUUCAACUUUUGACCUCGGAUCAGGUAGGGAUACCCGCUGAACUUAAGCAUAUCAAUAAGCGGAGGA
rnacentral:misc_RNA from 1 species